GCCUAUUGUAUAUUAUCCCGAAGUUUCAUUCCAUAAAAAACAGAAAUAAGGAAAUUCGAUAUUUCGUGUACCAUCAGCAUCCAAAUUUUCAAGUAUACAGAAAUUUAACUUUCCGGAAUAUAACGGAAAUUUUCGGGUAUCUCCGUGGUACCAUCUCCGUGCAAUUAUGCAGUAUGGCGUUCAUCUCUUACGGAAAGAGAAUGGUAACUUGAUACACUGUGUUUUGUGUGGAUAAGAAAUGCAGAGUGGUACCACCAAUCACCUAAGCCACCAUUCCCCUAACAGACAAUAGGCUCAUGGGGACAGUUCCUGCAAUUUACAGAAAAGCUCUCAAUUGUAGCCCUACGAACUUCAGAUACUGCCGAUGGUGAAGCUUGGGUGCACCGGGCCGGUUUUCCAGCCGUGUGGAAUCAACAUCUCCAGCUGAACUGGGGCCGGGAAUUAUAUAAGACUCCUUAGCAGCAUGAGUGCCAGCCAGUCAUUGCUGUUCUUGCAUUGCUGAGGAGGACAGUCCUGCCAACAUAACAGUUUGUUCAAUAACAGGAGACAAACAGAAACACAGAGGUGCUAUACAUUCUGAUGGAAAAACAAAAGCAUCUCCCAUCAUUUUGGCGUGGCUCAGAUCAAGAGGAGAAUUUUAAG